ensembl:lncRNA
AGGCCAUGAUCUUAGUUGUGGUUUUUUUUUUUUGUUUUUUUUUUUUUUAGUGUUGAGUUUCAAACCAGCUUUUUCGCUCUUCUCUUUCACCGUUACGUUAUCAAGAGGCUCUUUAGUUCCACUUCACUUUCUGCCAUUAGAGUGGUAUCACUUCCAUAUCUGAGGUUGUUGAUAUUUCUCUCAGAAAUCUUGAUUCCAGCUUGUGAUUGACCCAGUCUGGCAUUGUGCAUGAUGUAGUCUGUAAGUGAGUUAAAUAAACAGGGAGACAAUAUACAGCCUUGACGUACUCCUUUCCCAUUUGGAACCAGUCCAAAUUGUUCCAUGUCUGGUUCUAACUGUUGCUGAUUGACCCACAUACAGGUUUCUCAGGAGACAGAUUAAGGUGGUCUGGUAUUCCCACCUCUUUAAGAAUUUUCCACAGUUUGUUGUGAUCCAUACAGUCAAAGGCUUUCACAUAGUCACCAUUCAGAAAGAACUAUAUAGAUUUGAUCCCUAUAUUCUAAAAGUUUAUGGUCUAAGAGAGACAUGCAUACUUAAGAUUUACCUAAACUGUUAAAACUACAACAUGGAUGGACCUCCAAUGAGUUUAGGGCAAUCACAUUUAAAGGAUCAGGACCGAAAUAACAUUUAUUACAUAGACUGAAGGGAGAAAAGAUCAGUGGGGACCAGCUGGGACAUCCAGUGUUCACCUGGACCAAACGUGGAGCCUGUUCAUUCCUUCUAAAACUUUAUAUUAUAACCUAUUUCCUCCUCUCUUCCAGUUCAUAAUACCAAGCGACUGCCCUCAGAAAUGCACUGUAACCCCCUUCUUGGUUCCUUAACUUCUUCCCCCAUUUCCCUCUUGACCCACCUUUCCCAUGUCACUUUCCUGUCUCCCAGCCUCAAGUCUCAGACUAAUCCUGCCCUUUAUCAUCAGGGGUAAUGAGUGGCACUACCAGAUCUCCUGUCUCCCUGGAAUCGUGUUUGGAAAGCACAGGCCCUGCCUGUGGCUAUCUGCCCUCCCAGAUACCAUCUGCUGCCUGUCUGUCACCAUCAACUGCAAGUACUAUGUUCAUGGGACCAGACCUUCGCCUACCACCCUCCGCUGCAGCUACGAGUAUAGUAGAAGUAAAUUAGAAAGAACUUUUUUCUCCUCUAUAUUGGCUUCAUGUUAAUAUGAACCUAUGGUCUGAAAAGGAGUUUUUUGAUUAUCUGGGUAUGCAGUCAUCCUUACCACUGACUAAUAAGAGAGCAAAUGUGCAGAAAAGAACCAAGCUCACGUAGGCGCUUAAUCUACUAGAUGAUAUUUGAGGAGAAUGAUGGAAUUAUGGUCCAAUUAAAAAAAUCAGUUUCAUGCAUUUAGAGGAUCAUAAACUAUAAAAAUCAAGGGGAUACUUUAAGAUCACUUUUCUCAUAUAUUCACUCACCAAUUAAAUCAGUGAGUUUUUAACCAAAUGUAUCAGCUACUAUGCUGGGUGUCGGGGUACUAGUAUAUUGUCCCUAUCUGUAUAGAGAUUAUGUCUUAGUGGAGAAGACUGUUGGUUAAACAAACCUGUAAGAAUAUAACUACAAGUUAUUAUAAAUGCUAUUAAGUAAAAGAACAGGCUUCUCUGAGGUCUUACGUUAGCGAACACAUGAGACAUGAGGCUGGAGGGAGAGAAAGUGACUGGCCUCAAGUCACUGAGGAGCGGGCAUUCGUCUGACACGUAUUCUCUCCGUCCCACCAGUUUGGUUGUAGAAGCCUAGGCAAAUAAUCAGGGGCAAGUGAUGGGAACCAGAAAUCGAUGAGUUUCUUUACUGGCAUCUUCACUACUUUGAAAUGUUGGGCAACCUUGAGAGACAUCAGAUACCUGUUAUUAAGAAUAAGAGCUUCCAGUUUUUGAAAAUUGCUUUGUAACAAUUUUUAAAAAUAAUUGUUUUAGGGCAUCUCUGCUUGCAGUAUGGUUGACUAGAGGCUGAAAAUGGUUUGCAGGGGUAACAAAGUCCACAAUUAAAGAAAAACAGUUGUAUUAAAAUUUCUAGGCCACAACCAGGUUCCCAGCUUCGCUGAGUCUACUUUGCUGCAAAACGAGUGGUUUUAACGUUUCUAUGGAAGAUCCAGUCCAGAUGUCUGUCAAUUUCUGCUACAAAUCUUUGCCUUGGCUUAUCAGUUAGAAGAAAAUGCAAGUGAAAGCAUCAUUAUUAAAAUUACGAACAGACUUCCCUGGUGGUCCAGUGGUUAAGAAUCUGCCUUGCAAUGCAGGGGGUGAGGGUUUGAUCCCAGGUUGGGGAACUAAGAUCCCACAUGCCAUGUGCCACAACUACUAAGCCUGCACACCACAACUCGGGAGAUCCUGCUUGAUACAGCUAAGACCCGACACAGCCAGAAAGGGGGGAAAAAAAAAAGAGCCCUUAAAUAAAAAUGAGCCAUUAAUAAGCAAUGAUUAGCUAAUAGCAACUGUAAUGAACUUUGGAGACUGAGCUAGGUGAGGACUUUUCUGAUUGACUUCCCUCAAUCUAAAAGCCUAAAUCAUAGUCAGUGCCAUUAGGUUGGAAUGUUUCAUUUGUUCUUAUACCAUCAAAUUUGUAUUUUUAUUAUAAUUAGAAAUUAUGUGUACAUAUACAUUUGAUC